CAAACCUAAACGGUUGUUGCAGUUAAAAAGCUCGUAGUUGGAUUUGUGGCGGGUCCUGCGGUCCAAAAUGUUUUGGUACUGUCGGGGCCUGCCAUCCUUGGGUGGAAUCUGUCUGGCAUUAGGUUGUCGGGCAGGGGAUGCCCAUCUUUUACUGUGAAGAAAUUAGAGUGUUCAAAGCAGGCUUACGCCGUUGAAUAUAUUAGCAUGGAAUAAUGAAAUACGACUUUGGAACUAUUUUGUUGGUUUGCGCUCCGAAGUAAUGAUUAACAGGAACAGUUGUGGAUCUUUGUAUUCCAUUGUCAGAGGUGAAAUUCUUGGAUUUCUGGAAGACAAACUACUGCGAAAGCAUCGAUCAAGUAUGUUUUCAUUAAUCAAGAACGAAAGUUAGGGGAUCGAAGAUGAUUAGAUACCAUCGUAGUCGUCAUAGUUGGUUUCCUGAAGAAG
rnacentral:rRNA from 1 species